rnacentral:rRNA from 1 species
GGCUAGAGUUUGAUCAUGGCUCAGGAUGAACGCUGGCGGCGUGCCUAACACAUGCAAGUCGAGCGAAGCGGUUUCGAUGAAGUUUUCGGAUGGAUUUGAAAUUGACUGAGCGGCGGACGGGUGAGUAACGCGUGGGUAACCUGCCUCAUACAGGGGGAUAACAGUUAGAAAUGACUGCUAAUACCGCAUAAGCGCACAGGACUGCAUGGUCCAGUGUGAAAAACUCCGGUGGUAUGAGAUGGACCCGCGUCUGAUUAGCUAGUUGGUGGGGUAACGGCCUACCAAGGCGACGAUCAGUAGCCGACCUGAGAGGGUGACCGGCCACAUUGGGACUGAGACACGGCCCAAACUCCUACGGGAGGCAGCAGUGGGGAAUAUUGCACAAUGGGGGAAACCCUGAUGCAGCGACGCCGCGUGAGUGAAGAAGUAUUUCGGUAUGUAAAGCUCUAUCAGCAGGGAAGAAAAUGACGGUACCUGACUAAGAAGCCCCGGCUAACUACGUGCCAGCAGCCGCGGUAAUACGUAGGGGGCAAGCGUUAUCAGGAUUUACUGGGUGUAAAGGGAGCGUAGACGGCGCGGCAAGUCUGAAGUGAAAGCCCGGGGCUUAACUCCGGGACUGCUUUGGAAACUGCCAUGCUGGAGUGCUGGAGAGGUAAGUGGAAUUCCUAGUGUAGCGGUGAAAUGCGUAGAUAUUAGGAGGAACACCAGUGGCGAAGGCGGCUUACUGGACAGUAACUGACGUUGAGGCUCGAAGGCGUGGGGAGCAAACAGGAUUAGAUACCCUGGUAGUCCACGCGGUAAACGAUGAAUACUANGUGUCGGGGAGCAAAGCUUUCGGUGCCGGCGCAAAACGCAUAAGUAUUCCACCUGGGGAG